rnacentral:rRNA from 1 species
GAUGAACGCUGGCGGCGUGCCUAAUACAUGCAAGUCGAGCGAACAGACGAGGAGCUUGCUCCUCUGACGUUAGCGGCGGACGGGUGAGUAACACGUGGAUAACCUACCUAUAAGACUGGGAUAACUUCGGGAAACCGGAGCUAAUACCGGAUAAUAUAUUGAACCGCAUGGUUCAAUAGUGAAAGACGGUUUUGCUGUCACUUAUAGAUGGAUCCGCGCCGCAUUAGCUAGUUGGUAAGGUAACGGCUUACCAAGGCAACGAUGCGUAGCCGACCUGAGAGGGUGAUCGGCCACCCGGGAACUGAGAAACGGUCCAGACUCCUACGGGAGGCAGCGGUAGGGAAUCUUCCGCAAUGGGCGAAAGCCUGACGGAGCAACGCCGCGUGAGUGAUGAAGGUCUUCGGAUCGUAAAACUCUGUUAUUAGGGAAGAACAAAUGUGUAAGUAACUAUGCACGUCUUGACGGUACCUAAUCAGAAAGCCACGGCUAACUACGUG